UUGUGGAGGAAGUAGUUUGUAGUUACUCCCUAGGAGAAGGGUCUUGUGUGUGAGGCUAGUGAGAUGCUGAAGAAAGAAGCAGUUUACAGAUUCUUCCUGGGAGGAGAGAAUUGGGGCUAGUAGACCCAGAAGAUAGAGAAGGGCAUAAGAAAGGAGUCCAGGGAAAUAGCAAUAAGGUCUGGGAGGAAGUAUCCUGUAGUUGCUAGAUGUAGGAUCGCUGGGCUGGAUCCCAGAGUGAUGAUGGACCCAGAUUCCUCUACCAGCUGCUGGUAAAGUUGUACAGGACCUGGUCUUGGACUGGAAGAUUGUCUAGAGGGGCAUGAGGCAUUUGUCUGGUACUACGGAAGGGGAGGAUUAUACACUGGUCUGGAUGGAGAGCUCUGUCAGAGCGAGAGCACCGCAAGUCCUGAAAAAGUGAAGAGGGAUGUGGUGUGAGCAACCAUCAGAAAGGGGGCAUCUGACCUGAAAGAAGCUGAUUUCCCCCAGAUGUAACCCCAAGGAGGUAUGCUAGUGGAUCCACAUGGUGGCUGGGAGAGCAGUGAGUGAGUGGAUGGGCUGCUGUUCCAGCGGAAGUGCCAGUGGAAUAUGCACUUUGUCCCCAUCUGGCACUGUAGACGUUACCUGGAAAAGGUGUAGAGAUGGGAAAAUCCUUGAGAAAGUUAUUACAGAAGGAAUGGUGGAGGGUCAUUAUGGUAGCAGAUGACCAGCAAGGAGACAGAUGGAUGGCAUACAACAGAUCAUUGGAA